UUAGUUUAUUGGUGAUAAGCAUGUCAUGGACUUUCCUGCAGAGGCUGGCUUCAAAUGGCAAUUCUCAGAUCUGAGCCUCCGGAGCAGCUAGGAUUAUAGGUGAGCCACUAGCACCCACCUUCAAUAGGCUUUUAAACAGUAUUACACUAAUAUUACUUUCCUGGUUUUGAUAAUUACAUUAUAGUUCUGGAAGAUGUCCAGCACUGGAGGAAGCUAGAUGAAGGGCAGUCAUAAGCACUGUAUACUGUUUUGCAACUCUUUUCCAUGUCUAACACUAAUAGUAAAAAUUUUAAUGUUCUUUUGCUGAGAAUAUUUUAAAAAGGGACAUUCACAGUAUUAGUAAUGACAAUUCCUAUGGCAAUUCAAAAUGAUUCAAUGACACAGGAUCCCAUCAUUUUGGCCCACUGCUAUUCAAUAUCCAAUUACUGAAGACAGUAGAUAAGCAUUUACAUCUGAACUGUUUGUAAAGACAAAAUUGGUAUUGCAGAGUUCAAAACACUAUUGUUCAAUGAUCACUUAAAAAUGAGUGAAUGAGCAAGGUAAAUCAAAAGGUCUAUUGUAUUUAUCUUAUAAAGUAAUCAUUCCACUGUUCACUAUCAUUUUUGUAUUGCCAGUAUAUUUCACGAUUUUAGGCACUGUGAAGAGUAUUUUUGUAAUAUUUCCGGCAGUUUAGUCAAUACUGAGGACAUUUUUAAUACAUAGGCAAUUAAAUACCUCCUAAUUUGUUUAGGGAAAAUGUUUUUAUUUGGGCAUUUUUGUUGUUGUUAGGGCAGUAUUAUUGAGAACAUAACAUUUAAGAUUUUCAAUUUUCUUUUCCAAGACCAAACACUGAAUACCUUGAGGCUAUUUGAAACAGGGCAAACUUGUCUCUGCAAUUUUCUCACAGAAAAAUCCUCUCACUUCCCUGACCACUUGAAACCUUCACCUUCACUUAUGUUCAAACACCUAUGCCAUGGCCAAAUUCCUAGGCCAAGUCAUUGCUAGGAUCUGUUGCCCAUCUACUAGUAAAGUCGUAUUUUCCACUCUCUGAUGAUAUCUUUCCAAAGCACUCUCACACUCCUCACUAGCCUCUCAGAUCUGCUCCAUCAUGCUUCCUCACUCCUUAAACAGCCCAUUCCUUUCCCAACUGCUGAAGUCAUCAACUUACUCAUUGCCCCCUAACCAUUUCUCUUUCACCUUCAACACACAGUCCAUCACUGAGUCCUGUAAUUCUACCCACUACACAGCUCUCAUCUUUUUCUUCAAUCACCCUACCACUACCCUUGUCCAAGCCACCUUAUGAUUUUCAAAUGCUUUAACAUUCUCUUAACUAGGUAAUUCUCCACAAUGCAACUGGAUUUUAUUUUCUUCCUCUCUUUUUUUCUUUUCAGUUUUGAUGAUAGAAUCAGCUAAAUCCCAGGCCAGCCAUCAUCUUU